CAGACUCCUACGGGAGGCAGCAGUGGGGGAUAUUGGCACAAUGGGGGAAACCCUGAUGCAGCGACGCCGCGUGGAGGAAGAAGGUUUUCGGAUUGUAAACUCCUGUCGUUAGGGACGAUAAUGACGGUACCUAACAAGAAAGCACCGGCUAACUACGUGC
rnacentral:rRNA from 1 species